CCCCUAGAUGUUCUGGGCCGCACGCGCGCUACACUGAACAGUUCAACAAGUCUUAACCUUGGCCGAUAGGUCUGGGUAAUCUUUGAACGCUGUUCGUGACUGGGAUAGACCUUUGCAAUUAUGGGUCUUCAACGAGGAAUUCCUAGUAAACGCAAGUCAUCAGCUUGCAUUGAUUACGUCCCUGCCCUUUGUACACACCGCCCGUCGCACCUACCGAUUGAAUGGUCCGGUGAAAUCUCGGGACGGCGGCUUGGUCGCUUGCGUCCGACUGCUGAAACUUGAUUAAACCAUAUCAUUUAGAGGAAGGUGAAGUCGUNACA
rnacentral:rRNA from 1 species